rnacentral:tRNA from 1 species
GGCAACUUGGCCGAGUGGUUAUGGCGCAGUAAGCCCCCCAAAGCUACGAUCAGUUGGCCAGAGAGUUCUAACUGUACCACAGGGUUUCAGGAGAUUUGAGCACAAAUUCGCCUACCUGUUCGAAAGAGCGAGGGUUCGAAUCCCUCAGUUGUCA